UACGAAGGGGGCUAGCGUUGUUCGGAAUCACUGGGCGUAAAGCGCACGUAGGCGGAUCUUUAAGUCAGGGGUGAAAUCCCGAGGCUCAACCUCGGAACUGCCUUUGAUACUGGGGAUCUCGAGUCCGGGAGAGGUGAGUGGAACUGCGAGUGUAGAGGUGAAAUUCGUAGAUAUUCGCAAGACACCAGUGGCGAAGGCGGACUCACUGGCCCGGAACUGACGCUGAGGUGCGAAAGCGUGGGGAGCGAACAGG
rnacentral:rRNA from 1 species